AACGAACGCUGGCGGCAGGCCUAACACAUGCAAGUCGAGCGAGGACUUCGGUCCUAGCGGCGGACGGGUGAGUAACGCGUGGGAACGUGCCCCUUGGUACGGAAUAGCCCCGGGAAACUGGGAGUAAUACCGUAUGAGCUCUACGGAGGAAAGAUUUAUCGCCAAGGGAUCGGCCCGCGUUGGAUUAGGUAGUUGGUGGGGUAAUGGCCUACCAAGCCGACGAUCCAUAGCUGGUUUGAGAGGAUGAUCAGCCACACUGGGACUGAGACACGGCCCAGACUCCUACGGGAGGCAGCAGUGGGGAAUCUUAGACAAUGGGCGCAAGCCUGAUCUAGCCAUGCCGCGUGAGCGAUGAAGGCCUUAGGGUUGUAAAGCUCUUUCAGCGAGGAAGAUAAUGACUGUACUCGCAGAAGAAGCCCCGGCUAACUCCGUGUCAGCCGCCGCCGUAAUAC
rnacentral:rRNA from 1 species